rnacentral:rRNA from 1 species
GAAUACCGAAAGCGAAGGCGAUCUCCUGGAACAUAACUGACGCUAAGGCGUGAAAGCGUGGGGAGCAAACAGGAUUAGAUACCCUGGUAGUCCACGCCCUAAACGAUGAACACUAGUCGUCGGGAUGCUUGUCAUCUCGGUGAUGCACUUAACAGAUUAAGUGUUCCGCCUGGGGAGUACGGUCGCAAGAUUAAAACUCAAAGGAAUAGACGGGGACCCGCACAAGUGGUGGAGCAUGUGGUUUAAUUCGAAGAUACGCGAAGAACCUUACCUAGCCUUGACAUUGAUAGAACAUUUUAGAGAUAAGAUGGUGCCCUUCGGGGAGCUUGAAAACAGGUGCUGCACGGCUGUCGUCAGCUCGUGUCGUGAGAUGUUGGGUUAAGUCCCGCAACGAGCGCAACCCUCAUUCUUAGUUGCCAGCAGGUUAAGCUGGGCACUCUAAGGAGACUGCCUUCGCAAGGAGGAGGAAGGUGAGGACGACGUCAAGUCAUCAUGGCCCUUAUGGCUAGGGCUACACACGUGCUACAAUGGGGCGUACAGAGAGUUGCGAUACCGCGAGGUGGAGCCAAUCUCAUAAAGCGUCUCUCAGUUCGGAUUGUUCUCUGCAACUCGAGAGCAUGAAGCUGGAAUCACUAGUAAUCGUAGAUCAGCAAUGCUACGGUGAAUACGUUCCCGGGUCUUGUACUCACCGCCCGUCACACCAUGGGAGUUGAUUUCACCCGAAAUCGGGAAGCUAACCUUCGGGGGGCUACCGCUUACGGUGGAAUUAGCGACUGGGGUGAAGUCGUAACAAGGUAACCAAUCGAAUUCCCGCGGCC